GAUGAAGAACGUAGCGAAAUGCGAUAAGUAAUGUGAAUUGCAGAAUUCAGUGAAUCAUCGAGUCUUUGAACGCACAUUGCGCCCCCUGGUAUUCCGGGGGGCAUGCCUGUCCGAGCGUCAUUGCUGCCCUCAAGCAUGGCUUGUGUGUUGGGCCCCCGCCCCCCGGCUUCGGGGGGCGGGCCCGAAAGGCAGCGGCGGCACCGCGUCCGGUCCUCGAGCGUAUGGGGCUUCGUCACCCGCUCUGUAGGCCCGGCCGGCGCCCGCCGGCGACCCCAAUCAAUCUUUCCAGGUUGACCUCGGAUCAGGUAGGGAUACCCGCUGAACUUAAGCAUAUCAAUAAGCGGAGGA
rnacentral:misc_RNA from 1 species